UACGUAGGGGGCAAGCGUUGUCCGGAAUUAUUGGGCGUAAAGAGCGCGUAGGCGGUCCGAUAAGUCGGCUGUGAAAGUCAAGGGCUCAACCCUUGGAAGCCGGCCGAUACUGUCGGACUAGAGUCCGGAAGAGGCGAGUGGAAUUCCCGGUGUAGCGGUGAAAUGCGCAGAUAUCGGGAGGAACACCUAUAGCGAAGGCAGCUUGCUGGGACGUUACUGACGCUAAGGCGCGAAAGCGUGGGAGCGAACAGG
rnacentral:rRNA from 1 species